AGUAAUAGAACAUGUGUUUCCUGACUGCCCCUCUAGGCUUUGUUCCCAAGGGUGGGAGGCACUCGAGGUAACGCAGAAAUCAAGCCGCUCCUCUCUGGCUGCCAGACACCUCCUGAGCUAGACCCCACCAGGACAGGGCAUCAAGGUUACCCUGUCGACUCGUCGAGGGGCCUCACCCAGGUGUGAAUGGUACGGAGCCGGCAUGCCUCUGCAGAGAUUGAAACCAAAGCAAAGCCAGCUGGAAACAGCUUCUGCGGGAGGACUUCCAGAUCUGCAUGGAAGGAAGGUUGAGUUGGGACUGGCAGAAACUUUCCCCUUUUCUUACUAUAGAGAAAGUUUCAGAUGCUCUAUGGAAAAUGAGGCAAUUAGGUGUGUGGACUGGAGUGAGCUGUCAUGUCAGUAUGCACAAUGUCAUCGACGGGUGCUGCCUUGCAAAGAAUCAUGCCCACUGCCCCCAGCAUGCUGUCUGCCUGUGGGAAGCCUGAGAUCUGUGAACUGAGGGAGCCGCUGUGGUCUACACAAGGGUCUCCUUGGGGAUGCACUGCAUUGGCAGAAGGAAGAGGCUCCUGAAAACUUGUGUGGUGUGGUAAACUGUGGUUGACUUGGCAAGGCUUCCCUGUAUAUGAAUCAAUGAUAUGUGUCACUCCACUCAAUUAAAAAAAUACUUCCAGCAGAAUUUCUCAAAUGGCUUGUAACAGUACAGAUUUUGCAUUUCAAGAGUCAGCUUUCUCUUGAAAGACUAUGAGGUUUACCAAUAAUCAUAUAAAAUCCCCCAUAUUACAUAUGAUUUUUAUUAUGGCUAUGACUGUAUAACAUCUAAUAACCUUUCUCCUAGAUGAAGAAAAUUAAUUGAAUCUACUCAUCUUCCAUCUACUAUCUUCUCAGUUUCAAUGGGGAAAAAAAAAGAAAAAGUGGAAAACAAAUUAUUUUUGUUUUAAGAGAAUUAAAAUAGCUAAGAAAGUAUGCCCUUCUAUACCAGUAAUGAUAGACCCUGCCUGGCUCCUACAGCGGAUACUGUUUCAAACAUUAUAACAUUUUGUUGAUGAACAUGCCCAACUGAAUUUCUAACCAUUCAUUUUCUAAAUUGUACUUUUUAAAACUUGACAAGACUCGUUUGGUUACUGAAUUAUAUCCUCUUCUGAAUUUCUUCCUUCUGAAAGUUCUUUUUUUUUUUUCCUUAAAGGGAUAUUAUCCUUGCUUUGCACAGUUUUCUUAAUGGUCAGGUGUUCUCAAUCUACUCCACAGCUUCACCAUUUCUACUGGUUAAUCUUCACAUCUGAAUCAUGUAUGUGCUGUGCUGUGUUGUGCUUAGUCGCUCAGUUGGGUCUGACCCAUGAGGUCACCACCCCAUGGACUGUAGCUCACCAGGUUUCUCUGUCCAUGGGGAUUCUCCAGGGAAGAAUACUGAAGUGGGUUGCCGUGCCCUCCUCCAGGGGAUCUUCCCAACCCAGUGAUCAAAACAGGUCUCCCACAUUGCAGGCAGAUUCUUUACCAUCUGAGCCACCAGGGAAGGCCUAACGGUGUAUGGUAAAGGCCAGUUUCACAAGCAAAAGGUAUUGCCUUAGUAACAAUUUACGAGAGAAGAAAACUGAGGAUCUGAUGUCAGAGGAGGUCUGGCUGAGACUCUGAAUUUUAUUCUGUGGUUUUCACCCUUUGAUUUUUCUUUAAAAGGAUCAAAUGAGAUACAAACCCAGGGGCCACAGGUCCAUCCUUCUGAGAGGUGAUAGUUAAUGCCCAACAGACAGAAAGGACCUCAUAAUACAAUGCGUGUUGUAUCCAACUUGAUGUUGGUCUACACAGAAAUUCAAAUACUGAAACCAUCUUCCAGGGCCAAGAAGGAAAAAAAAAAUUUUUUUUUUCAAUAUAGAUCUAGCCAACAUUAGGAUAUGUGUCAUUUUUAUUGUUACACUCGGUGUGCCCACAAAUCCCAAAGCAUGUUCCAUAUUAAGAUUUUGGCUUCUAUUAAGACCACAACUUUGGUAUGGAAAGGCAUGUCUCCUUUCAUCUAAGUAGGAAAGAAAAACAAAGUAAAGAACAAUAAAAAGCAAUAGAGGCCUGAAAUGUACCUAUUUCUACUGAUCUCACUAAUCAUUAAUAC
ensembl:lncRNA